rnacentral:rRNA from 1 species
GUCCACGCUGUAAACGAUGGGCACUAGGUGUCGCGGGUAUUGACCCCUGCGGUGCCGCAGCUAACGCAUUAAGUGCCCCGCCUGGGGACUACGGCCGCAAGGUUAAAACUCAAAGGAAUUGACGGGGGCCCCGCACAAGCGGUGGAGCAUGUGGUUCAAUUCGACGCAACGCGAAGAACCUUACCCGGGCUAGACUACAGAGGACACCCUUAGAAAUAAGGUCUUCCCUUCGGGGACCUCUGGUUCAGGUGCUGCAUGGCUGUCGU